rnacentral:rRNA from 1 species
GAACUAAAGAGUUUGAUCCUGGCUCAGAUUGAACGCUGGCGGUAUGCUUUACACAUGCAAGUCGAACGGCAGCAUAGGUGCUUGCACCUGAUGGCGAGUGGCGAACGGGUGAGUAAUGCAUCGGAACGUGCCCAGUCGUGGGGGAUAACGCAGCGAAAGCUGUGCUAAUACCGCAUACGAUCUAUGGAUGAAAGCGGGGGACCUUCGGGCCUCGCGCGAUUGGAGCGGCCGAUGUUAGAUUAGGUAGUUGGUGAGGUAAAGGCUCACCAAGCCUACGAUCUAUAGCUGGUCUGAGAGGACGACCAGCCACACUGGAACUGAGACACGGUCCAGACUCCUACGGGAGGCAGCAGUGGGGAAUUUUGGACAAUGGGCGAAAGCCUGAUCCAGCAAUACCGCGUGCAGGAAGAAGGCCU